rnacentral:rRNA from 1 species
AUUGAACGCUGGCGGUAUGCCUUACACAUGCAAGUCGAACGGUAACAGGUCUUCGGAUGCUGACGAGUGGCGAACGGGUGAGUAAUACAUCGGAACGUGCCUAGUAGUGGGGGAUAACUACUCGAAAGAGUGGCUAAUACCGCAUGAGAUCUACGGAUGAAAGCAGGGGAUCGCAAGACCUUGUGCUACUAGAGCGGCCGAUGGCAGAUUAGGUAGUUGGUGGGAUACAAGCUUACCAAGCCGACGAUCUGUAGCUGGGCUGAGAGGACGAUCAGCCACACUGGGACGGAGACACGGCCCAGACGCCGACGGGAGGCAGGAGUGGGGAAUUUUGGACAAUGGGCGAAAGCCUGAUCCAGCAAUGCCGCGUGCAGGAUGAAGGCCUUCGGGUUGUAAACUGCUUUUGUACGGAACGAAAAGCUCUGGGUUAAUACCCUGGGGUCAUGACGGUACCGUAAGAAUAAGCACCGGCUAACUACGUGCCAGCCGCCGCCGUAAUAC